UAUAAUUUGAUCUAUUGCUCAAUAAUUUCUUUAUUCAAAUCUCUUAAGAAUGAAUUCCCUUUUUAGGAUUGUGAACCUCAUUCAAUUUGCAAAUUUCAGGAGGCUGAACCAACUUAAUUUCAAUUGUGGCAACAGUUGGUGGUUGAAGUGGACAGGGCAAGCUGGUUUGGCGUUUUUAACUCUUGGUUUGUUGCGUAAAAUAGCUUUCCUUGUUGCAAAAUUGUGCUCUCGAUUUCAUCCUAUCAGUGUGAUCCACAUGAAGUGUGCUAGUUGAUUUGACCGUCAUGUUAACUCCAUGUUUGGCAAGCUUAUGUUGAAUUUUUACUUUAGCAGACAAUAUUUGCUCUUUUGUGUUUAUCGUGUGAGCUUCACUUGGACUUCUAGUAUAUAUGUUUAAAAAUGUGAAUCAAGGAAGCCUGAUGUCAACCUCUCCAAUCAAUACUCUUGUAGGCUUUCUCAAAGUCGGCCUUUAUGGAUUGAUUCCGUCUUUCCACAGAGGGUACCUAGUCCCCUCUCAUUGGCCAUUUGGUAUUCUAUUUCUGUUCUUCCAACUUAUUAUCUGUCGCAUUCUGAGUCACCUAACUUUUUUGUCGUGUAUGACAACAUCUACCAUUUAAAUUUUUAUGGUUGAACCCAGAUAAGUGAUACAUCUUGUAUGUUUGUUCUUCUUUUCAUAGUCUUCUCCUAUAUUUGCUUUGAGUCCUAUUAAGCCUAAAUUGCAAUACUCAUCCCUUUCGUAAGAAUGACUGGAAUAUGAAAGGCUUGCAUUAUAAUGUUUUCUCUUGCCGCUACUUUUCAAAUUUAGCUAAAUUAUCUUGUUUGCUGAACUAGAGUAUGUUUAUGGUAAAAACUUGUGUGCCGUUGGCAUAAUCGCUGUAUGAAACUGGUGAUGCUUGCAAAAACCUGUGAGGUAUUUUACCAAAAACUUGUGAUGCAUCACAAAUUUCUUAACAAAUGCUGUCAAUUGGGUUGCAGUUGCAGUCUGCAAGGGCAGAGUGUUAGGGACACGUCAGCGCUUUCGAUGCAGUCCUUGAGCUUCGGAUUGUCCUGGAGUGAAGGAAUCAGGGCUGAUGGUUGUUGUGGCUGUUGACCCCAUCUGGAAUAAUGGAGACAUGUGGGAAAAAGUUCAAUGCGACAUGCAUAGGCCCUCCGAGUUCUGGUGAAAAAUUCCCAUGUCAGGGCUCAGUGAUUGUGACUGUUGCAGAACGAUGUGCUUCGCCACAAUGCGACACCACUUUCCAGCUCUCUAGGCUAGCCUUCGACAAGAUUGUCGACGCUACACUGGUCAAGAUUGCGACUGAUUAUGAACCACAAUGCGACACCACUUUACAUGGUCCGCCGUCUCCCUCUAUCUAGUGAUCCACUGAGAUUUUGUUUCAUGAACCUACUCCCGGAUGAAUUUGCAGGGCUUAAAAGGCAAGUUGGAAUUUAUUCUUUUGCGUAGGAAGUAUGAUGGAGGGAUGGCAACCUAUUAUCCCUUCGGACAAUAAAAUUAAGAUGUUUUCGUAAACAGGAGCUACUUUGGAACAUUUGAAUAUUUACUUGUAUUACAUAUGAUUCUGUUA